AUUGAACGCUGGCGGCAGGCCUAACACAUGCAAGUCGAGCGGAUGAAGAGAGCUUGCUCUCUGAUUUAGCGGCGGACGGGUGAGUAAUGCCUAGGAAUCUGCCUGGUAGUGGGGGAUAACGUUCCGAAAGGAACGCUAAUACCGCAUACGUCCUACGGGAGAAAGCAGGGGACCUUCGGGCCUUGCGCUAUCAGAUGAGCCUAGGUCGGAUUAGCUAGUUGGUGAGGUAAUGGCUCACCAAGGCGACGAUCCGUAACUGGUCUGAGAGGAUGAUCAGUCACACUGGAACUGAGACACGGUCCAGACUCCUACGGGAGGCAGCAGUGGGGAAUAUUGGACAAUGGGCGAAAGCCUGAUCCAGCCAUGCCGCGUGUGUGAAGAAGGUCUUCGGAUUGUAAAGCACUUUAAGUUGGGAGGAAGGGCAGUAAGUUAAUACCUUGCUGUUUUGACGUUACCGACAGAAUAAGCACCGGCUAACUUCGUGCCAGCCGCCGCGGUAAUAC
rnacentral:rRNA from 1 species